UACGUAGGGCGCAAGCGUUGUCCGGAAUUAUUGGGCGUAAAGAGCUCGUAGGCGGUUUGUCGCGUCUGCCGUGAAAACCCGGGGCUUAACCUCGUGGCUUGCGGUGGAUACGGGCAGACUAGAGGUAGGUAGGGGAGAAUGGAAUUCCCGGUGUAGCGGUGAAAUGCGCAGAUAUCGGGAGGAACACCGGUGGCGAAGGCGGUUCUCUGGGCCUUACCUGACGCUGAGGAGCGAAAGCGUGGGGAGCGAACAGG
rnacentral:rRNA from 1 species